rnacentral:rRNA from 1 species
UACGUAGGCAGCAAACGUUGUUCGGAAUUACUGGGCGUAAAGCGUGCGCAGGCGGUUUUGUAAGUCUGACGUGAAAUCCCCGAGCUUAACUUGGGAAUUGCGUUGGAGACUGCAAGGCUGGAGUCUGGCAGAGGGGGGGUAGAAUUCCACGGUUGUAGCAGGUGAAAUGCGUAGAGAUGUGGAGGAACACCGAUGGCGAAGGCAGCCCCCUGGGUCAAGACUGACGCUCAUGCACGAAAGCGUGGGGAGCAAACAGG